UUCCUCUUCUUCCUCUUUCUCUUCCUUCUUUCCAACUCCUCCUUCUUCUUCCUCUUUCUCUUCUCCUAACAAUUCGGUAGAAAUAUCAAGCUGUGCAAUAUCAACCAAGAAAAACUCUGCAGAUUUUUGAAAUCCAAGUUGAUGACAAUUUUCUUUUGCAAUUUCAAUUGCCUGAGGAUCAAUAUCAAGAG
rnacentral:ribozyme from 13 species